rnacentral:rRNA from 1 species
GACAGAGGAUGCAAGCGUUAUCCGGAAUGAUUGGGCGUAAAGCGUCUGUAGGUGGCUUUUUAAGUCCGCCGUCAAAUCCCAGGGCUCAACCCUGGACAGGCGGUGGAAACUACCAAGCUGGAGUACGGUAGGGGCAGAGGGAAUUUCCGGUGGAGCGGUGAAAUGCGUAGAUAUGCGGAGGAACACCGAUGGCGAAGGACAAUCCCCUGGGCCUGCACUGACGCUCAUGCACGAAAGCGUGGGGAGCAAACAGG